CCUACGGGUGGCAGCAGUGGGGAAUAUUGCACAAUGGGCGAAAGCCUGAUGCAGCAACGCCGCGUGAGCGAUGAAGGCCUUCGGGUCGUAAAGCUCUGUCCUAUGGGAAGAUAAUGACGGUACCAUAGGAGGAAGCCCCGGCUAACUACGUGCCAGCAGCCGCGGUAAUACGUAGGGGGCAAGCGUUAUCCGGAAUUACUGGGCGUAAAGGGUGCGUAGGCGGUUUAUCAAGUCAGGGGUGAAAGGCUACGGCUCAACCGUAGUGAGCCUCUGAAACUGGUGAACUUGAGUGUAGGAGAGGAAAGUGGAAUUCCCAGUGUAGCGGUGAAAUGCGUAGAUAUUGGGAGGAACACCAGUGGCGAAGGCGACUUUCUGGACUACAACUGACGCUGAGGCACGAAAGCGUGGGGAGCAAACAGGAUUAGAUACCCGAGUAGUC
rnacentral:rRNA from 1 species